GGGGCCGCAACCAAGUGAGGAGACCUCCCCCCCCCGCCCCCUCCCCCAGUGACCUUUGCAGGCCGGCCUCAUUUCCCGGAUGCACCGCGCGGGGAUAUGUGUGGACCGGUCACUUCCGGCCGCCUCCACUUCCUGUUUCCGGUGCGGUGGGAGAGAGGAGAGGGCGAACGACGCACCCCGGGGAACGCCGGGCCCGUUGGCCUGACAGGGACCCCGCGGCUGGUGCGGGACUCGGCGAAUCAGGCGUUAACGGAC